CAACUCGUCCAUAAAUAGCAUGAACAAAUGGUAUAAUCACCUUAGUAACAAUAGCAAUGCUCAGUACAAUCAAGAUAAUUGCCUAAACACACAUAAUAAUAAUAAUAAUACUAACAAUAAUAAUAAUACUAAUAAUAAUAAUAAUAAUAAGAAUAUGAAUCGAUACUAUGAUAUAAAUGACAAUAACUCUUGUAUGAACAUAUCAGGUGCAAAAAAAAUAAACUAUUCAAAUAACAACAAUAGUACUAAAAGUAACAGUAAUAACGCCGCGAAUAAUACUAAUACUACUACGGCAACAACUGGUAGUAAUAACAAUAAUUAUCUUCAUAAUAGAAACCAUAUUAACAUAGAUAGAGCAGAUAGUUACAACUCAUUUAAUUAUAAUAAUAAAAUGCAAAACACAAAUAAUAUGGUAGGAUCUUCAUCCUCAUCAUCAUAUGAUAAACAAUUUAUGAAUAAUGAAAAUAAAAAUGAGCUGUUAAAUAUAAUUAAAGAAAAUGUAGGUAAUAAAAAUAGUAGAGACUACGGACGUGAACGUGGACAUGAGUAUGAGCAUAGGCAGCCUUCUAUCAACAAAUAUGAAAAAAAAAAUGAACAUAAUAAAGUUUUGAAUAAUAACAAUAGUGUUAAUAAUAGACCUGUUGGGUAUAGAGGUAACAUGCGUAAUAGUAUAAGUACAAACAGUAGUGUAUGUAGUAAUAGUAUUGAUAGUAAUAGAAGACGAAAGGGUAACCGUAGAGUCAGUUACAGUGAUGAGGAGGAGGAAGAGGAAGAGGAUCAUGAGAAUGAACUGGAUGUUAAUAAAAAUUAUAAUUAUGACAAUCUAAAUGCUGUGUGUUACAAUAAUAACAACGACUAUAAUAUUAUGAAAUAUAACAACGGAAAUUAUAACAACAAUAGUAACUAUAACAACAAUAGUAACUAUAACAACAAUAGUAACUAUAACAACAAUAGUAAUUAUAACAACAAUAGUAACUAUAACAACAAUAGUAACUAUAAUAACAAUAGUAACUAUAACAACAACAGCUACAAUAACAACAACAACUACAAUAACAACAACAACUACAAUAACAACAACAACUACAAUAACAACAACAGCUACAAUAACAGUCGUAACAAAACGUAUAAAGAAGAUACCAAAAUAUUAAAUAACAAUGAACUUUGCAACAUAAAUAAUAUUGUUGAUAUAAAUAAUAAAAAUUUAAAUACUUCACCAAAUAAUGCAUAUAAUAUAGCUUAUAUGUUUAUUUAUCAAUNNNNNNNNNNNNNNNNNNNNNNNNNNNNNNNNNNNNNNNNNNNNNNNNNNNNNNNNNNNNNNNNNNNNNNNNNNNNNNNNNNNNNNNNNNNNNNNNNNNNAAAAAAAGAAAUUAUGCAUAAUUUUUAUGCAGAAGAUGCAAUUUUACUUAUAAGUUGCAAUGACCAAAAUAUGAAAGACUUAGUAAACUCAAUGAUUUAUCAACAACAACAAUGUAUGGAAGAAGAAAAUGAAAAUAACGAUAUUAAUAGCAUGAACUGUAAUCGAAAUAAUCAAAGGGUUGAUAUUAGAAGUAGUAAUAAUAGUAAUAAGAAUAGUUCUGAUAAUGUAAUUACGAAUACAUACAAUGUUAAUUCGAAAUUGUUUAAUCAAAAAAAUAAUUUAAAUAAUCGUAAUAAUACUGUUGAUAUUAAUAAUAGAAAUUGUGAAAAUAAUAGUAAUAAUACUGAAUGUAGCGAUCGAAUGAUAAAAUUAAAAAAUAGAAACGUUAUACAUGAAUAUUAUAGUAAUUUGGAUAUUAAUGAAUGUAUUGUUCAUAUUAUAUGUAUUGAAGUUAUUAACGUACAUAAAGAAAUAUAUAUAUAUAUUUAUGGGAAAAUAAAAAGAUGUAAAGAUUCGAAUGUUUUUUAUUUUUUUAUUCAAAAUAUACAUUUACAUGAAUAUAAUUCUCUUCAAUAUUAUGUGGAUUUGGAUUUUGUUCAUUAUUAUAAUGUACAAGGAACUAGUUACCACAAUUCGGAUAUCCAAACGAUGGAUUCUGUAUCAUGUAUUAAUAAAAAUUUAAGUACAAAUCCUAACAAUAUAUGUAGUAGAGGUCAUAAUAAUGAGUAUAAUAAUAAAAUUGGAAAUAAUAAUUAUUCUAAUCUAAAUACAGAACUAAAUUUAAAAAAAAAAAAAAUUAAUGAUUUAUAUUUGGAUAAUUCUUUAUCUAUUACUACUGCUGCUGCAACUGCUGCUGCUAUUGCUAUUGCAAAUACUAGUACAUACACGAUGAAUAAUCAAAGUGGUACUAAUAAACAUAUAAGAACAAACCAUAAUAUAAUACCAAACGAUUUAUUGAAAAAUAAAAAUAUAAAUAAACAUUUUGCUUUAAAUAAAUAUAACAAUAAUCAAAGAAAAAAUAAAAACGAAUACAUAGACAGUUACAACAAUAAUAAUAAUAAUAAUAACAACAACAAUAACAGAAAUAACAAUAACUAUGAAUUGUUAGAUGCUGAUAAUUAUAGAAUACGAUAUGAUGAUAAACAACAGUAUGUUGAUAGAAAUGAUCAUGAGCAUAUGGCUGUUAACAACACAAGUGGUGGAGGAUAUUAUCAGCAGCCAUAACAACAUUGUUAAAAAAAUGGAAAAAAAUAAUAAAAAUAUAAAACAUAAAAAACA
ensembl:lncRNA